rnacentral:lncRNA from 13 species
UUUAUUUUGCCGCGCAUGAAGGCGGAAGCGAAGGCGGAGACCGGCGCUUGAGGGAAGAAGGCCCCGGCGAGACGCACUGGGCGGGGAUGCGGGGUCCGCUUGCUAGCGGCAGACCCUCUAGGCUCCCAGGCGGUGGUGACCCGGGCGGCGAGUCUUGUGGAGGCCUAGGAGCUGCUGGACCUGCGCUUCGGGGGACCAGGUGGAGAGGCCGCUGGAGUCGCCUCCAGCGUUCUCCCCUCGUCCUUCGCGCCCGCCUCGCCCGCGGCUCCAGGUCCCGGCCGCCACUGCAGUCUGCGCAACACCGCGGGGGGCUCCGCGCACUAGCGGCCUCCAGCCUCAGCCACCAGGGCAGGGAGCGCGGCUGGGUCCCUGGAAAGCCAUUUUUAAAUCACUGCCUAUGCUGUCCUCACGUGAGGUCGGAGUGUCCUGCCCUGACUUCGCUUUCAGGUUCCUUCGGGCAAACUGGAACCUGAACUUGGUAAAGAAGCUCCCGGCACCCUUCUGGCCGCGGCCUUUCCAGGAGGGAGAGGCUGGGGUCACCCCGUUGGGCCACAUUUCCGGGGCGGUACCUGUCGGGCUGCCAGGCCUCGCUACCUGGUCCCAUCUGGAGCUCUGCUCUGCCUCCUCCGCUGAUGACCUGGGUCAAGGGAGGCCGCAGGGACACUCUGGGGGGCUGAGUCGGGCGAGCACCCCCCACCGGCUGCUCUCUGUGGGGUGUGACACGAGGCCUGGUUGGGCUGCAAGGAGACAGACUGGGAUUCCCAGGCUGGUGGUUGGGGAGACGACGGGUAGCGGCGAGAAGCAAGAGUCCAGGAGGCCUUGCUUAGGUUGCUAACUUUGGAGAAAGCCAGCUCCAUGUCACAAGAAGAUUCAGGAAACCAUACUGGGAGGCCCACAUCAUGAGGAACUGAGGACUUUGCUAAUUGCCAGCAAGGAAAUGAGGCCUCCUGCCAACAGCCGUGUGAGUAUCCUACCUUGGAAGUAGACCCUCUAACUUAAAUCAGUUGUCAAAUAACUGCAGCCCCAGUUGAUUUCUUGAUUGCAACCUUAGGAAAAAUCCUGAGCCAAAAGCAUUUAGAAAAAAU